UUGGCCCUCACAAAUACCUUCAUUUUGAAGCUUAGAUUUUAUUACUUCGCAAAGCUUGGAGCUAGAUCGAAUGCCAGCCUUUUCCUCCACUCAUCUCCCCCUGAUGAUCUUCGUCCUUUGUUGAGGAACGACUCUACUGGAACUUUGUUCAUGAAAUCCUAGUCUAUUUCUUUUUUCUUUUUUUCGGUUUUGUUUUCCAUUAUGUUAGCCUUGUAAACAAAAAAAAAAUACCUCCAUUUUGAAAAGCGACAAUGGUAGUAAAUAUUUCUAUGGAAAUCAAGAAUAGUUUCUCCAACAUAAAUGUAUUAUGUAUUGAUAAACAUGCAGAAAUAUGUCUAAUGGGGUUGACAAGACCCUGA
rnacentral:lncRNA from 1 species